UACAUGUUUGGGGGAGAAAGACCAUGAAGAUAAAAGGUCAUUUUCUUCAUAUCAACAUGGCUUAUCGUCAUUGAUUUUAACCUUGACUGCCUGGUUGUGGUAGUGUUGCUGAGGUUUCUCCACUGAAUAAUUACUCUUUUCCUCCCCCUUCCAUAUUGUACUUAAUUUUUGAAAGGAAACACUAUGCUCUGCCCACACCUAAGGAGUAAGAAGUGAGGUUCCGUCUCCAGGAGGGCACAGUAUAUGGAAAUGACAGUGACACUAAGGACCUUGGAAGAUGCGGAUUUAGGAUGGCUGAGAUGCCUCACACCCCUGCGUCCCUGGAUAUCCUCAUGGAGCCAUUCUCAUCUACUUGUCCUGGACUUCUUGACCCACCCAGAGGCCCUAAAAGGGUGAAGGAAAACUUUUUUCUCCUCUACAGUUGGUAAUACAAAAUGCUAUAAGAAUUGGUGAAGUCCAAGACAAUAGAGAAAAAUAUCCACUGAUCAUUUUAAGUGGUAUCUUGUUGUACUUUAACCUGCUAAAUUAAAACUAUAGAAAUAUAUCUCUUAGA